rnacentral:rRNA from 1 species
AUUGAACGCUGGCGGCAGGCUUAACACAUGCAAGUCGAGCGGGGGAAGGUAGCUUGCUACCGGACCUAGCGGCGGACGGGUGAGUAAUGCUUAGGAAUCUGCCUAUUAGUGGGGGACAACAUCUCGAAAGGGAUGCUAAUACCGCAUACGUCCUACGGGAGAAAGCAGGGGAUCUUCGGACCUUGCGCUAAUAGAUGAGCCUAAGUCGGAUUAGCUAGUUGGUGGGGUAAAGGCCUACCAAGGCGACGAUCUGUAGCGGGUCUGAGAGGAUGAUCCGCCAGACUGGGAAUGGGACACGGCCCAGACUCCUACGGGAAGCAGCAGUGGGGGAUAUUGGACAAGGGGGGGAACCCUGAUCCGGACAUGCCGCGUGUGUGAAGAAGGCCUUAUGGUUGUAAAGCACUUUAAGCGAGGAGGAGGCUACUUUAGUUAAUACCUAGAGAUAGUGGACGUUACUCGCAGAAUAAGCACCGGCUAACUCUGUGCCAGCCGCCGCAGUAA